CCUACGGGAGGCAGCAGUGGGGAAUAUUGCACAAUGGGCGAAAGCCUGAUGCAGCGACGCCGCGUGAGCGAAGAAGUAUUUCGGUAUGUAAAGCUCUAUCAGCAGGGAAGAUAAUGACGGUACCUGACUAAGAAGCUCCGGCUAAAUACGUGCCAGCAGCCGCGGUAAUA
rnacentral:rRNA from 1 species